UGUAACUCAGUUGGCAGAGUGAUUGUCUAGCAUUCAGGAGGCCCUGGGUUCAAUCCCCAGCA
rnacentral:tRNA from 1 species